UCUUGUUUUUUAUUAAAAAAAACACACAUUUGUAUUUUCACCCAAUAUUCAUUUAUAUACAUGUACUUGUACAUGUAAGUGAUUGGGGGAAAAUAUUACAGGCAAAAAUAGUCGCGUAUACAGUAAAACAACAAAUUCAAUGAGCAUUAAUUGAUGGUAUCCAAAAAUACCAGCCAUUAAAACUUCAAUAAAACAUGCAUUCCACUUUCAUUUAUUUUAUCAUAAUGUUCAUCACAAUCAUUUUUAAAGUAUUUUAGAUGAGUUUUUUACUGUACGAGCACGUAGAAUUAAUUUGUAAAACACCAUUAUUGUCAUCGUAGCAAGCCAUGGGUUUUGUGUCCAUUCUAUUCCCACCAGGCUUGCGACAAUGCAUUAUUAGAUACUGUAUAAUUUAUAUUACCUGAUUUUCUAGUAUUGCCUGUUUUGAACAGCAUUCUCUUGUUUUGACUUUUAAAUACAGUUUUGGCAUUUUUUUUUGACUGGUGAUCAAUUGCCUGGCAAGCAGUUGUUUAAACCAAUGAUGUCAUACCAAUGUCAGUAGCAUGCUGACAUCAUAGGAAUUCACCUUAUUAUCACGGCAUUAAAUCUUACUUCAAAUACUGCUGGUAGUUCAUAACUUUAUAAAUAUCCUUUCAUAUUUUGUUUGUAAAACUGUUAUACACUGCAAUAAAACAGUUAUCUAUGCCUAAUCAAGCAUAAAAUUUCAAUAUAUUUCCCUGACAGACAUAUUGUGUGCCAAUGUGAUGCACUUUUUUGGUUCGCUUACAACAUUGAUGGUACAUUGUGUUACGUAGUUAAUUAUACUUGAAUACCCUAAAUAUUUUGUGAGUGUUUCAUGGAGUCAUGAUGACUCUAUAGUUUUGAAGAAUUUUUGUAAUUGGAUAAAAAGGUUCCAUGAUUUGUUUUUCUUAGUCACUGGCUUUAACAUUUAAAUUUUUGGGGCAAGCCUUUGUGUUUUUCAUGGACAAAAAGCUAAGGAGCAGGAGUUUGAAAAAAAAAAAAAAGAAACUGGACACAGGUAACAAACAUGGACUACUGGUAGUUAUGGAACCUGUAUAUUUACACACUUCAGCAGUGCAGAGAUAGUAUUUUUGAGUGGAAUAAAAGUGUAAACUUUGUUAUAUAUAUGAUAAAAAUUGGUAUACAUGUAUUUGCAAAAUUUCUCCUAUGUAUAAUAUGUAUAAUAAUUAUUUAUAUAUGUAUAUGUAGAUAUAGUGGUAGGGAGAUGCACAUAGAUUUUUAUUUGUAAACUUUCCAAUUAAAUUUUAAUUGUUAAUUUGAAAUAUUUAACAGGCUCACUCUGCAAAAUCUGAAUAUGUUCAUGUAUACAUUUUAUACAAGUAGUACAUUGUGAUGUUCAUUAAGACUUGUAGCUUACAUAAAUUUCUUUUUCAUUUAA